rnacentral:lncRNA from 1 species
UAUUAUUAAUGAAAUGUAAAAGUGACAAAUAUAUAUGAAGUCUGUUUGUUUCUAUUUAAAUGGUUUGAUUACCAUACAACAUAUGCUUAGUUUAACAUGCUUUCUUGAUUUAAAAUUAUUUUCAUUUGACAGGUUCAUAAAAUUAUGCCUCCUUGACGAGGAAUAUGUUGUAUAUGUUUUAUCCAGAUCUUUAUUCUAAAAUUCAACAGUUUCCUUUUUUUUGCCCUUCUAUCAGAUAUUGAGCUGAUUUUCAAUAUAAAGUUAAAUAAUGAUUAGUAACAAAAAGAGUUAUAGGUUGACAGAAAUUUGACAGAGUUGUUGCCCUUGGACUGGUUAUGUCAUACAAAUAGUACUUCAUGAAGCAUUUUUAAGUGUACAGAAAUUGAGUUGAUUUAUAUUCCAAAGAAACAUAUUGACGAACUACAGAUAGAGAUUUAAUUUCAUAUAUGACAAAUUUAUUGCCAUUAAUACUUGCUUUGGUGCUGCAAAUAAUUUCAAACUGACAGUCUAAUCUAAAUGUCUUUUUUGAAGAGUAAUUUAGGUUAAUUCAUAAACUUAGCAUAUGAUACUUUCAAGUGAAUAAUGAUAUAGACUCUCAUCUUUUAGGAUGGUAGAUGAACUUCAUUAAAUGUUUGUUAUUGGCAUUGGACAGAAUAUUGUGAUUUGUAGUUGUAUGCAUAUUAGGAUUUAUUUUUGUUAAGGGACGACAUCAAAAGUUCAAUGUAGGAUAAAAAACUUUAAUUCACAUAGUUUUUUCACUGACCCCCACCCCCCUCUUAACUUAAUUUGGGAAAAAUUGAUUUACCAAUAGGGAUAUAUGUAAAAAUCGAUUUUAGAUAUACAAAACUUGCAGAAUUUCAACCCCCCCACCCCCAAACUAUUUGAUUUAAGUUUUUUUAUCCUACAUCGAUCUUUUGAUGUCGUCCUAAAUCUCUUGAAGGCUGAACAUGUACAAUUGAUGACAGGAGACAAUAACUAUUUUUUUAUUUAAUUAUUAAACACUGCUGAACCUUCUAGAGCAUUUGAGAGCACCCCUGCUUUUCUGUGUAUUGUUUUGUUGGCUUGUCUUUUCAUCUUUUCCUUCUCAAUUUAUGUGUUUUGAGUGUCUGCUUAUUAUUUUAGAAUGUUACUUUUUCAGAAUUAACUCCUUCUAAAUUUAAAUGUAAGUGCCUUCAAACUACUAAUAUUCAUACCUGUGAAGUGUUUCAGUAUAUAUCAGUUCAGUUUAUAAAGUGUUAUGAUUAUGACUUUUUUUUUAGAUCUAGGUAUAUGUUCAACAGUUACCAUACAAAUAAACAGUUGUAUACCACUUUUCAAAAGUCGUACAGCACAGAAAAAAGAUGAAAGGACACCUAGAUGUCAACAUACAAUCUUCAACGAUAAAGAGAUGUUUUAUUUUGACCUUCAUGGGGCAAUAUAUAUAUCAAGAUAUAAACCACCCCAGUCUAGUAAAGUACACCAUUGCUAACCAAGGGUAAUAAUCUGGUUCCUUCCUCUUUUUGGUGUUUUAAAAAUGGAAAAAACUACUGAUUAAAUUUUCCAGAGGCUUUUAAAGAUCCUCCAAAUUUACUAAGAGAACCAUUAAUAUACAUGUAUUAUCAAAAGACAACCAUUAAACACUUUCCUGACAUUUUGUGAACUAUAAUGUUUAAAAAAGUAUUGUAUAAAUAAAUAAGCAUAGAGUGAUGAAUUAAGAUGGUUAUGUUGAAGUACACGGUAGUUUUACUAGAAAAGCUGAGAUGCCUCCGAUCAUAUCUGUUAAGAACUACUUUCAAACUGAAUAACUCUUCUAAUUCAUUCUGACAUUUGUUACUAAUGACGAUGUCUGCUACAUGUAUAAGUAUGUUGAGACGAAGAAUACCAACAAUGAUAAAGAGAUAUUAGGGAUUUAAUAGAAAAGCAAAGUGUAACGAGAGAAAUAGUUUUUAUGCCAUCUCUGAAAAUUUAUUUAGAAGCAGUUUGAUGACACAUUUAUUUUGAAUUGUAAAAUUAUAUUGUAAUACUAAUCUGUAAUUGUUAAAGAUACUUUAGAACUUGUAGGACUGACUACAAGUUACAUUUUUUUGAGAUAGAAAACCAGAUGCAUGUAUUUCGCUCAUGAAAUGGAUUUCUAUAUUGUAUAUAGAAUGUAUUAUUGGUUAGUCAAGAUUAUAAAGUGUGACAAUGUUGAUGUAGUGAGUGAAAAAGAAGUUAUUUAACAUUAUUGUUACCUCAAGUUCACAUAUUUUUGUCACUUUUACAAAAUAAAUGUAUAUGUAUCAAA